AGAGUUUGAUCCUGGCUCAGAACGAACGCUGGCGGCAGGCCUAACACAUGCAAGUCGAACGCCCCGCAAGGGGAGUGGCAGACGGGUGAGUAACACGUGGGAACAUACCCUUUGGUUCGGAAUAGCUCAGGGAAACUUGAAUUAAUACCGGAUAAGUCCGCAAGGAGAAAGAUUUAUCGCCGAAGGAUUGGCCCGCGUCUGAUUAGCUAGUUGGUGGGGUAACGGCCCACCAAGGCGACGAUCAGUAGCUGGUCUGAGAGGAUGAUCAGCCACAUUGGGACUGAGACACGGCCCAAACUCCUACGGGAGGCAGCAGUGGGGAAUAUUGGACAAUGGGCGCAAGCCUGAUCCAGCCAUGCCGCGUGAGUGAUGAAGGCCCUAGGGUUGUAAAGCUCUUUCGUCAGGGACGAUAAUGACGGUACCUGAAGAAGAAGCCCCGGCUAACUUCGUGCCAGCAGCCGCGGUAAUACGAAGGGGGCUAGCGUUGUUCGGAAUCACUGGGCGUAAAGCGCACGUAGGCGGAUCUUUAAGUCAGGGGUGAAAUCCCGGGGCUCAACCUCGGAACUGCCUUUGAUACUGGGGAUCUCGAGUCCGGGAGAGGUGAGUGGAAUUGCGAGUGUAGAGGUGAAAUUCGUAGAUAUUCGCAAGAACACCAGUGGCGAAGGCGGCUCACUGGCCCGGUACUGACGCUGAGGUGCGAAAGCGUGGGGAGCAAACAGGAUUAGAUACCCUAGUAGUCC
rnacentral:rRNA from 1 species